CAUGGGGGUCCCCUUCUGGGGAGCACCGGCGGACGGCUCAGUAACACGUCGGUAACCUACCCUCGGGAGGGGGAUAACCCCGGGAAACUGGGGCUAAUCCCCCAUAGGCCUGGGGUACUGGAAGGUCCCCAGGCUGAAAGGGGCUCUGCCCGCCCGAGGAUGGGCCGGCGGCCGAUUAGGUAGUUGGUGGGGUAACGGCCCACCAAGCCGAAGAUCGGUACGGGCCAUGAGAGUGGGAGCCCGGAGAUGGACACUGAGACACGGGUCCAGGCCCUACGGGGCGCAGCAGGCGCGAAACCUCCGCAAUGCGGGAAACCGCGACGGGGGGACCCCCAGUGCCGUGGCAACGCCACGGCUUUUCCGGAGUGUAAAAAGCUCCGGGAAUAAGGGCUGGGCAAGGCCGGUGGCAGCCGCCGCGGUAAUACCGGCGGCCCGAGUGGUGGCCGCUAUUAUUGGGCCUAAAGCGUCCGUAGCCGGGCCCGUAAGUCCCUGGCGAAAUCCCACGGCUCAACCGUGGGGCUUGCUGGGGAUACUGCGGGCCUUGGGACCGGGAGAGGCGGGGGGUACCCCUGGGGUAGGGGUGAAAUCCUA
rnacentral:rRNA from 1 species